UAACGAACACUGGCGGCGUGGAUUAGGCAUGCAAGUCGAACGAGAAAGCUCCCUUCGGGGGGUGAGUAGAGUGGCGAACGGGACAGUAACGCGUGGGAAACCUACCCUUCGGUGGGGGAUAACACUUCUAACGAGGUGCUAAUACCGCAUUCGAUCUCCGGGCCGCAUGACCUGGGGAUGAAAGGUGGCCUCUGCUUGCAAGCUGCCGCCGAUGGAUGGUCCCGCGUCCCAUUAGCUAGUUGGUAGGGUAACGGCCUACCAAGGCUGCGAUGGGUAGGCGGCCUGAGAGGGUGACCGCCGUCACUGGGACUGAGAUACGGCCCAGACUCCUACGGGAGGCAGCAGUCGAGAAGCUUCGGCAAUGGGCGAAAGCCUGACCGAGCGACGCCGCGUGAGCAAUGAAGGCCCUAGUGGUUGUAAAGCUCUGUCAGAUUGGGAAUAAAUGCCGGGGGCGAAUAACCCCCGGAGCUGAAGGUACCGUCAGAGGAAGCACCGGCUAACUCCGUGCCAGCAGCCGCGGUAAUACGGAGGGUGCAAGCGUUGUUCGGAUUCACUGGGUAUAAAGGGUGCGUAGGCGGCCUUGUAAGUCAGAGGUGAAAGCUGCCGGCUUAACUGGCAAAUUGCCUUUGAGACUGCAGGGCUUGAGUCCGGGAGAGGAAGGCGGAAUUCCAGGUGUAGCGGUGAAAUGCGUAAAUAUCUGGAGGAACACCGGUGGCGAAGGCGGCCUUCUGGUCCGGUACUGACGCUGAGGCACGAAAGCCAGGGGAGCAAACGGGAUUAGAUACCCCGGUAGUCCUGGCCGUAAACGAUGGGCACUAGGUGUUGGAGGAGUCUACCCCUUCAGUGCCGUAGCUAAUGCAUUAAGUGCCCCACCUGGGGAGUACGGUCGCAAGGCUGA
rnacentral:rRNA from 1 species